rnacentral:rRNA from 1 species
AGUGAACGCUGGCGGUAGGCCUAACACAUGCAAGUCGAACGGCAGCACAGUAAGAGCUUGCUCUUACGGGUGGCGAGUGGCGGACGGGUGAGGAAUACAUCGGAAUCUACUUUUUCGUGGGGGAUAACGUAGGGAAACUUACGCUAAUACCGCAUACGACCUACGGGUGAAAGCAGGAGAUCUUCGGACCUUGCGCGAUUGAAUGAGCCGAUGUCGGAUUAGCUAGUUGGCGGGGUAAAGGCCCACCAAGGCGACGAUCCGUAGCUGGUCUGAGAGGAUGAUCAGCCACACUGGAACUGAGACACGGUCCAGACUCCUACGGGAGGCAGCAGUGGGGAAUAUUCGGCAAUGGGCGCAAGCCUGAUCCAGCCAUACCGCGUGGGUGAAGAAGGCCUUCGGGUUGUAAAGCCCUUUUGUUGGGAAAGAACAGCAGCAGGUUAAUCCCCCGCUGUUCUGACGGUACCCAAAGAAUAAGCACCGGCUAACUUCGUG